rfam:Camelus ferus unplaced genomic scaffold scaffold1254, whole genome shotgun sequence.
GAGGGUAUAGCUCAGUGGUAGUGUGCGUGCUUAGCAUGCACAAGGUCCUGGGUUCAACCUCCAGUACCUCCG